AUACGGAGGAUCCGAGCGUUAUCCGGAUUUAUUGGGUUUAAAGGGUGCGCAGGCGGCCAUUUAAGUCAGCGGUUAAAUCGUGGGGCUCAACCCCAUUCUGCCGUUGAUACUGGGUGGCUUGAUUGCGGUCGAGGUUGGCGGUAUUCGUUGUGUAGCGGUGAAAUGCAUAGAUAUGACGAAGAACACCGAUUGCGUAGGCAGCUGACCAGACCGCAAAUGACGCUCAUGCACGAAAGUGCGGGGAUCGAACAGGAUUAGAUACCCUGGUAGUCCGCACAGUAAACGAUGAAUACUUGUUUUCGGCGAUAUAAUGUCGGAGGCAAAGCGAAAGCGAUAAGUAUUCCACCUGGGGAGUACGCCGGCAACGGUGAAACUCAAAUGAAUUGGCGGGG
rnacentral:rRNA from 1 species